GCGCCCGUAGCUCAGCUGGCAGAGCGGUGGGACGGUACCCCACUGUCCCGGGUUCAAGUCCCGGGGCGGUCGCU